rnacentral:rRNA from 1 species
GGGGAACUGAAACAUCUCAGUACCCGCAGGAAAGGAAAUCAACCGAUACUCCGUCAGUAGCGGCGAGCGAACGCGGACCAGCCGAGCCCUGAGAGGUAGCAGAACCAGUUGGGAAACUGGGCGACAUGGGUGAUAGCCCCGUAUGCGAAAACUCGAUGGGCCACAUUAAGUAGGGCGGGACACGUGAAAUCCUGUCUGAAGAUCGGGGGACCACCCUCGAAGGCUAAGUACUCCUUGCUGACCGAUAGCGCACUAGUACCGUGAGGAAAGGUGAAAAGCGACCCCGACAAGGGGAGUGAAACAGUUCCUGAAACCGGACGCCUACAAACAGUCGGAGCCUACCGUGGACCUUCGGGUCAAUGGAUUGGUGACGGCGUACCUUUUGUAUA